rnacentral:rRNA from 1 species
UUGAACGCUGGCGGCAGGCCUAACACAUGCAAGUCGAACGGUAACAGGAAGCAGCUUGCUGCUUUGCUGACGAGUGGCGGACGGGUGAGUAAUGUCUGGGAAACUGCCUGAUGGAGGGGGAUAACUACUGGAAACGGUAGCUAAUACCGCAUAACGUCGCAAGACCAAAGAGGGGGACCUUCGGGCCUCUUGCCAUCGGAUGUGCCCAGAUGGGAUUAGCUUGUUGGUGGGGUAACGGCUCACCAAGGCGACGAUCCCUAGCUGGUCUGAGAGGAUGACCAGCCACACUGGAACUGAGACACGGUCCAGACUCCUACGGGAGGCAGCAGUGGGGAAUAUUGCACAAUGGGCGCAAGCCUGAUGCAGCCAUGCCGCGUGUAUGAAGAAGGCCUUCGGGUUGUAAAGUACUUUCAGCGGGGAGGAAGGGAGUAAAGUUAAUACCUUUACUCAUUGACGUUACCCGCAGAAGAAGCACCGGCUAACUCCGUGCCAGCAGCCGCGGUAAUACGGAGGGUGCAAGCGUUAAUCGGAAUUACUGGGCGUAAAGCGCACGCAGGCGGUUUGUUAAGUCAGAUGUGAAAUCCCCGGGCUCAACCUGGGAACUGCAUCUGAUACUGGCAAGCUUGAGUCUCGUAGAGGGGGGUAGAAUUCCAGGUGUAGCGGUGAAAUGCGUAGAGAUCUGGAGGAAUACCGGUGGCGAAGGCGGCCCCCUGGACGAAGACUGACGCUCAGGUGCGAAAGCGUGGGGAGCAAACAGGAUUAGAUACCCUGGUAGUCCACGCCGUAAACGAUGUCGACUUGGAGGUUGUGCCCUUGAGGCGUGGCUUCCGGAGCUAACGCGUUAAGUCGACCGCCUGGGGAGUACGGCCGCAAGGUUAAAACUCAAAUGAAUUGACGGGGGCCCGCACAAGCGGUGGAGCAUGUGGUUUAAUUCGAUGCAACGCGAAGAACCUUACCUGGUCUUGACAUCCACAGAACUUUCCAGAGAUGGAUUGGUGCCUUCGGGAACUGUGAGACAGGUGCUGCAUGGCUGUCGUCAGCUCGUGUUGUGAAAUGUUGGGUUAAGUCCCGCAACGAGCGCAACCCUUAUGGUCAGUUACUACGCAAGAGGACUCUGGCCAGACUGCCGUUGACAAAACGGAGGAAGGUGGGGAUGACGUCAAAUCAUCAUGCCCUUUAUGACUUGGGCUACACACGUACUACAAUGGCUAUAACAAAGAGAAGCGAGACAGUGAUGUGGAGCAAAACUCAAAAAAAUAGUCUCAGUUCGGAUUGAAGGCUGAAAUUCGCCUUCAUGAAGCUGGAAUUGCUAGUAAUGGCAGGUCAGCAUACUGCCGUGAAUACGUUCCCGGGCCUUGUACACACCGCCCGUCACACCAUGGGAGUGGGUUGCAAAAGAAGUAGGUAGCUUAACCUUCGGGAGGGCGCUUACCACUUUGUGAUUCAUGACUGGGGUG